GACUCACUCGCCCGAAAACUCUUUGAAUCGAAAGAUCAGUGCCCAGAAAAUGUAUUGCCCCGAAGGAUCACUCGCCAGAAAAUACCGCCCACUACCUCCUGAUUGGCCGACUGACCAAAAGACAAUUGUCUGUCAUCUUUGUCUAACCAUUUAUGAAGUUUGACAGAAGUUAGGCACAGAUUUUUGAUAUGAUUGUACAAGUUGGAACAAAUAUGGGGAUUUAAUUUUAAAUUUUGUACAGCUGACAGCUGACCAUAGAUAACCUAACCUGUUUGUUGAUAUUUACAUAACCGUUACAGUCGGAGCCGGAAACUUUCUGAUUUUUAUUCGACUUAUUACACUAAUUAAAUGAGACCAUUGAUAUUGAUACUUUGAAAGCAAUCUGAUGAUGACAUGCAUUAAGAGUUCUUCUUUUGGGUACAUCAAACUUUCCAUUUUCCAAAAAUAAAAGUAAUAUUAGAUGAUCGAAAUACUCGAAAAUCUGGAGCAUUCUCAAAUAACAAAACUAAAAUUUUAAAUGAUAAUCAAAUGUGAUUUAAACCAAUACAUUUUAUUGAGGAGUAGAAUGAGUAUCUGUUUUUGAAGUGGUCAGUGAGAGUCUGCAAUCUCAAGUUCCCGAUACUUAUCACUUUCAAUCCCUCAAGAAAAUGCAGAAUUUUCUUGAAUUGAAUAAAUUAUAUCGAUUACAAGAAACAAUGUAUGAAAACGUUAUAACAUUCUCCUCAAAUAUGAUUUCCCAAAGAAGAUAAUAUAUGAAUACUGAUGGAAGAAUCAAUUUUGGCCCGCAAGAUGCCUUUUAAUAUAAAAUAUUUCAGCUUAUUUCGUGAAAAGUUAUUAUUCGUACAAUUCACUGCUAGGGAGAAAGGGUCUUUUACUGGAGCUCUUUUAUCAUACACCAAAUUGUGUGGUAUCCCGUCACAUUAAACUCUACUAAAACUUUAUCUCAUACUGUUGCUUUACUCAUUGUUGGAUGUUGAACAUUGUUAUGCUUAUUAUCAAAAAAAUAUAUCGUGGGCAAACAAUCAAAACCCACUAAAUCCCUUUUUUUUUG